rnacentral:lncRNA from 10 species
CUGCCUCGCCAGAUCCCAGGCUGCUGCUGUGUGUGUGCUGGCUUCCUUCUAUUUAAUACUGUUUUUCUUAUAGGAGAUACUUUAUGCUUCUGUCAAAUGAAAGUUAUCCUGUUCAGUAUACAAUCAAUGCCUUCAUAAUAUCACCUGCAGAAAUUAGCACUUCCCUUAGAAAAUCUCCAGCAAAAAUUGUGUGCCUACACCUUAAGGGUUCUCAACGCCAAUUCAGGAAACUUUGAUUGAAAAUGAGAGGAAGAACUAUGAGUGAAGAAAUAAACACGUUGAAGCUGUAAACUUCCAAACCAAAAGCAUGAAUAUGGAGAAUGUAAUGAAAGAAUUCUCAUUUGAGUGAUAUAGCAUGC